UACGAAGGGUGCAAACGUUGCUCGGAAUUAUUGGGCGUAAAGCGCACGUAGGCGGCUUUGCAAGUCCCAUGUGAAAUCCCACGGCUCAACCGUGGAAGUGCAUGGGAAACUGCAGAGCUUGAGUACUUAAGAGGAUCGCGGAAUUCCCGGUGUAGAGGUGAAAUUCGUAGAUAUCAAGCGGAACACCGGUGGCGAAGGCGGCCUUCUGGACGAUGACUGACGCUGAGACGCGAAAGCGUGGGGAGCAAACAGG
rnacentral:rRNA from 1 species